CCUACGGGAGGCAGCAGUGGGGAAUAUUGGGCAAUGGGCGCAAGCCUGACCCAGCAACGCCGCGUGAAGGAAGAAGGCUUUCGGGUUGUAAACUUCUUUUCUUAGGGACGAAGAAAGUGACGGUACCUCAGGAAUAAGCCACGGCUAACUACGUGCCAGCAGCCGCGGUAAUACGUAGGUGGCAAUCGUUCUCCGGAUUUAUUGGGUGUAAAGGGCGUGUAGGCGGGAAAGCCAGUCAGAUGUGAAAACUCAGAGCUCAACCCUGAGCCUGCAUUUGAAACUGUUUUUCUUGAGUGCUGGAGAGGCAAUCGGAAUGCCGUGUGUAGCGGUGAAAUGCGUAGAUAUACGGAGGAACACCAGUGGCGAAGGCGGAUUGCUGGACAGUAACUGACGCUGAGGCGCGAAAGCGUGGGGAGCAAACAGGAUUAGAUACCCCAGUAGUC
rnacentral:rRNA from 1 species